rnacentral:rRNA from 1 species
GUACACGCUGUGACUAGCAUAUCAAUAAGCGGAGGAAAAGAAACCAACAAGGAUUCCCUUAGUAACGGCGAGUGAAGCGGGAAGAGCUCAAAUUUGAAAUCUUGAAAGGUCACCUUUCACGAAUUGUAGUUUAAAGAAGUGUUUUCUGUCACGAUCGUAAUAUAAGUUCUUUGGAAUAGGACAUCACAGAGGGUGAGAAUCCCGUCUAUGAUUGCGAUUUGUAGCUUUGUGAUACACUUUCAAAGAGUCGGGUUGUUGGGAAUGCAGCCCAAAACGGGAGGUAAAUUUCUUCUAAGGCUAAAUAUUGGCGAGAGACCGAUAGCGAACAAGUACCGUGAGGGAAAGAUGAAAAGAACUUUGAAAAGAGAGUUAAAUAGUACGUGAAAUUGUCAAAAGGGAAGCGUUUAACACCAGUGUUGUUUUCUGAAAAUCAACCUCUGUUAGCUUUAUGCAUGUUUGUUUAGACCUAAUCAGCUAUCUUGCAUGUUCUAUUGUUUGCAGUGGUGCACUUUUCAGUUUACAGGUCAACAUCAGUUUUUUUUACCGUAAAAAAGUUAAAGAAAGGUAGCUCAUGGCUCCGGUCGUGAGUGUUAUAGUCUUUUUCCUAUGCGGUAGGAGAGACUGAGGUCUGCAGUGUAGGCUAUUUGGCUAGAUACUCAGGUGCUAUGUGAUACCAUUUCAUAAACAACUUGUUGAUUAUGUUUUGUCUAUUGCAUACUCGCUUGUACUAUCAUACCUACGCUUAGGAUGUUGAGUAGCGACAUACGCAC